rnacentral:lncRNA from 1 species
AUGAACUCGUGGGAGCCCGACAACAUUCCUGUAUUGGUAGCCUCUGUGAUCAUCAGCCCCGUAUCACAGAUGAGGAAGUUGAGCAAUGGAGUGAUUCAGUGGCAUGGCUCAAGUGUGAAGGAGCGGAGACUGGAACUCAGGGGUCCUGGCUGCAGAACCCUUGCUCUUAUCCACCGUUCACUCCCAGUGCAAGAGGUUUGGGAAUGGGAUUGGGGGUGGGGCUCUCCAUCCUGGGCAUUCCACCCUGCCCUCAGAGAUCUCAUGGUCCUCUCCUCCAUCCUGCAACCUUCCAUCUUUGUGACUCCAAUACCUCCACUCCAUCCCCAGACCAACCAAGCAUUUCAUCCCACCUGGAGCAGCCCCAUCCUCCCUGCCCCCAUCUCAGCAUCCCAUCCUGCUGUUAGUGACCCCAAUUUCUCCCUAUUUCCUGGCCCUGCGCUUGCAUACCCAACCUCCUUCUCCCCAGCCCUUCCCCUCCUGCUUCAGUUCGGAUCUCCUGGUCAUGGAGGACCUGCCUGCCAGGGCAGAGGCAGGUGGGGACUGUCAAUCCGGGAACCGGGAGCUGGGGCUGGGGGUUCCCUCCGGGUCCCGGCUCACCCUCUGGGACGCCAGCUCCCAGCAUGCGCGCGUCUCGGGCACCAGUGCGACGGUGGUAUUUAUGAGCCAUCCCACCGCCCACAGCUGUCCCAGCCCCGGAAGAGCCUGCCUUCUCCAGGUGACGGCCUCCCCAGACAGCUGGGGCCCCGCGUCCCACUGGUCUGGCCGGUCCCAGGCGCCCCACGCCCACACGCAACCCCCCAAGGGCGGAGCGAAGGAAGGGGUACCCAGGAAGUUUUGGUAAACCACCGCUGCCACCUCCAAGCUGGCCACCAGGUGAGCGCCCGGACCGGGGGAUUCUUCACCACUGAGCCACCAGGGAAGCCCAGACCCCUUUCUUUCUACCAUGAAAACUAUUGUUCGUGUCCUCCAAGUCCUGCCGCCAGGAAGAGAGAUCAGACUUUGAAAGGACUGGCCAGUACCUCCUCCACCGUCAGCGAAUAGGAAGAGCUCUUUCUUCCCGGGGUUGUCAAGACGCUGUGAGCCCUUCCAGGAGAUGGGUGACAAGAUGCUCCCUUAGGUAAGUCUUACUCGGUGUGGGGCAAAUCCAAGACCACUCACUUUGCUUCAUUGAUCUUCACUGGGGGAUGGUUAUGGAAGCAAAGGCAUGGUCAAGGUUGAAAGACUCUAGGAAUGCAGGGAUUCUUGCCUAAAGAGGGUAAGAAAGAGCUAGUUAGAAGAGGAAUCCUACACCAAUGCUAUUAAUCCCAAAUAUGACCUUUUAAGUCGGAGAAGGCAAUGGCACCCCACUCCAGUACUCUUGCCUGGAAAAUCCCAUGGAUGGAGGAGCCUGGUAGGCUGUAGUCCAUGGGGUCGCUAAGAGUCGGACACGACUGAGCGACUUCCCUUUCACUUUUCACUUUCAUGCAUUGGAGAAGGAAAUGGCAACCAACUCCAGUAUUCUUGCCUGGAGAAUCCCAAGGACGGGGGAGCCUGGUGGGCUUCGGUCUAUGGGGUCACACAGAGUCGGACAUGACUGAAGUGAAUUAGCAGCAGCAGCAGCAUGACCUUUUAAAAGACCAGAGAGCGGACUCUCUCUCCUGCGUGCGUGCGCUCUUUUCUUUCUCUCUCUCUCUCUCCCCCUCUCUCCCUCUUGCUAUCUUCUAAAUAAAAUGGAGCUGUAACACUGAAUUGCCUAAGAGCUGUAACACAGUUUGUCCAAGACCCGAGAGCUGUGAUGCGCCGAGGGCUUUAAUGUCCGUUGCUCCAAAUCUUUGUUGUGACGAGACAAAGAACCGAGGAACAUACACUCACGUGACAUCUAUGGUGCCGUGACUCGGGUUUAACCUGGCUGAAACAACCUCUAUGUGGAAGAGGCCAAGCAUAACAGGAGCCCAACUCAGCAAAGCUCCCGAGCUAGAAGCGGAAGGCGAAGAAACCCAGCGCAGGGGAAGGCCCAUCGUGCUGGAAACCGGGACAGCGAGAAACGAACUCAGCAGAAAGCUCACGUGGCCCAGUCUCAGAUUCCAGAAGACCUCUGGUUAAGGUCAACCAGCUACAACAUGCAGUGCCAGUUCAACAAAGAUAUAAAACUACAGCUGACCACGGAAAAUAUCACACACCCUUGGACACCGCUAUAAGGACUCUGAGGCUUGAGACUAGCAAGAGGGGGCGGCUCAAUACCCCUCGCCACCUCAGUUCAGCAGUAAGUAGCCAGAAAGACCUCGACGCCCCUAUUCCCAAAGAAUUUGGCCUCCCAUCUCUUGAGGGGGGAACGUUAGGUAGGUAGAAUAGGGAAAAGGAGUCCAAAAUGGCAGUGGCUAAAAGACUAGGAAGGUCCGAGGACCAGAGUGAAGACUUCAGGCAGGACAAACAGAACAAACAGCACUCCUGGCUAAGCCCAAUUUGCAUAGGGCAGGCCCAGGUGGAGGAAAAAACAUAUAAAAGGAGGAGCCAAAGUGCUUUCUCUCGGACUCUCUCUCCUUCGUGCGUGCGCUCUUCUCUCUCUCUCUCUCCCUCUCUCUCUCUCUCCCUCUCUCUCUCUCUCCCCCUCUCUCCCUCUUGCUAUCUUCUAAAUAAAAUGGAGCUGUAACACUGAAAAAAAAUAAAAUAAAAUAAAAUAAAUAAAAGACCAGAGAAAUUGCUGCUCACAGUUUUCUGCAUUCUCUGAGUAAGCAUUGCAUUUGUGGGACUUCCCUGGUAGUCCAGUGGUUAAGACUUCUCCCUGCAAUGCAAGGGACUUGAGUUCGAUCCCUGAUCGGGGAACUAGGAUCCCACAUGCCUCAGGGCAACUAAGCCCUUGCACCACAACUAGAAAGUCCAUGCUAUACAAUUAGAAAAUCUGUGUGCUGAAAUGAAAGAUCCUGCAUGCUGCAACUAAGACCAACACAGCCAAAUAAGUAACAUAAACAUUAAAAAAUUAAAAAAAAAUGUUAGGACUCAUUAAAAAGAAAAGAAAAGAAUUGCAUCUGUUGUUGUUUAGUCCCUAAGUUGGGUUCAACUCUUUGUGACUCCAUGGACUGCAGCACACCAGGCUCCUCUGUCCUUCAUUAUCUCCUGGAGUUUGUUCAAAUUCAUGUCCAUUGAGUUGGUGAUGCUAUCCAACUGUCUUAUCCUUUGCCGCCCCCUUCUCCUUUUGCCUUCAAUCUUUUCUAGCUUCGGGGCCUUUUCAAAUGAAUCAGGACUUUACAUCAGGUAGCCAAAAUAUUGGAGCUUCAGCUUCAACAUCAGUCCUUCCAACGAAUAUUCUGCACAGAUUUCCUUUAGGAUUGACUGGCUUGAUUUCCUUGCAGUCCAAGAGAUUCUCAAGAGUCUUCUUCAGCACCACAAUUCAAAAGCAUCAGUUCUUCAGUACUGAGUCUUCUUUAUGAUCCAACUCUUUUGUCCAUACAUCCCUACUGAGAAAACCAUGGCUUGGACCUUUGUCGGCAAAGUGAUGUCUCUGCUUUUUAAUACGCUGUCUAGGUUUGUCGUAGCUUUCCUCCCAAGGAGCAAGCUUCUUUUAAUUUCUUGGCCGCAGUCACCUCUCGCAGUCAUUUUGGAGCCCAAGAAAAUAAAACCUGUCACUGGUUCCAAUUCUUCCCCUUCUAUUUGCCUAAAAGUGAUGGGACUGGAUGCUGUGAUCUUUUUUUUUUUAAUGUGAAGUUUCAAGUCAGCUUUUUCACUUUCCUCUUUCGCCCUCUUUACACUUAUAUGCAAAAUGAUUUGGGUUCUAGGCUUGGAUUAACAGGCUUUCCUCCUGCAAGAAAACACCCAGGACACUGGCUUAAAGCAGGAGGAAUCCAGGAUGGCUCUCCCCUGGGGGGGGCUCUGUCCUGUACCUGGCUACCCAAUGACACUCCUAUUACUGUGAUAUCAAAAUACACCUAUAACUUUCCCAAGAGACCAGUGGGUUGUUUUGUACAGCCUUGUCUCCUAGGAGCCAUUACUCUCUAAUCAUUAGCUUCCUGGCAGUAGGCUCUUUUGGAACCCAAUUAUAUUUGUUUUUCUUUUUAAUCAAAGUGCAGCAUGGGGUGUAAUUCCAGGAAUUAAUAGAGAUUGUCUCUGGAGGAGGAAAUUGAAGAAUGAAAAUGACUUGUCAGAUUCUGGCUUUUUAUCCUACUUGAAGUUUUUAAACAUUUUUCUAAAGCCAUAUUUUUGGACUCAUAAUUGGAUUACAAUCAGUUUUCAUAAUCUCAUUACCAAAUAAGAUUCCCCCAGCUUUUACAUUACAUUAAAAAGUGAUGUAUUGCUGGGACUUCACUGGUGGUCCAGUGAUUAAGAGUCCACCUUCC